rnacentral:rRNA from 1 species
UAACGGUUCACCAGGGCGACGAUCGGUAGCUGGUCUGAGAGGACGAUCAGCCACACUGGGAUUGAAAACGGCCCAUACUCCUACGGGGGGCAGCAGUGAGGAAUUUUCGUCAAUGGGGGCAACCCUGAACGAGCAACGCCUCGUGCAGGAAGAAGGUUUUCGGAUCGUAAACUGCUUUUCUCGGGGAAGAGAACGGACGGUACCCGAGGAAUCAGCCCCGGCUAACUACCUGCCAGCAGCCGCGGUAAUACGUAGGGGGCAAGCGUUGUCCGGAGUUACUGGGCGUAAAGCGCACGCAGGCGGUUCUCUCACUUCCUGCUGACAGUCGUCGGCUUCACUGACGAAGGCGUGAGACGACGGAAGAACUUGACGGCUUCAGAGGGACACGGAAUUCCUGGUGGAGUGGUGAAAUG